rnacentral:rRNA from 1 species
AACGAACGCUGGCGGCAGGCUUAACACAUGCAAGUCGAGCGCCCCGCCAGGGGAGCGGCCGCCGGGUGAGUAACGCGUGGGAACGUACCUUUUGGUUCGGAACAACUCCGGGAAACUGGAGCUAAUACCGGAUAAGCCCUAACGGGGAAAGAUUUAUCGCCGAAAGAUCGGCCCGCGUCUGAUUAGCUAGUUGGUGAGGUAACGGCUCACCAAGGCGACGAUCAGUAGCUGGUCUGAGAGGAUGAUCAGCCACACUGGGACUGAGACACGGCCCAGACUCCUACGGGAGGCAGCAGUGGGGAAUAUUGGACAAUGGGCGCAAGCCUGAUCCAGCCAUGCCGCGUGAGUGAUGAAGGCCUUAGGGUUGUAAAGCUCUUUUGUCCGGGAAGAUAAUGACUGUACCGGAAGAAUAAGCCCCGGCUAACUUCGUG